AGAAUAUUUGUAAAAGGGAAAUUAACAAAUGGCUAGGUUUCGGCUUGUGAUCAUUUAUAACAUUUACGAUACACUGACACGUUACAAAACACGCGUGCACGCACGGACGCACAUGUAGCUGGAUAGCAUUCCAUGCAGCAUCCCUGCCAUCAUGGCUACCAACAGUAGGCGAUACGGCAAUAGGCUGCACGACAGGUAGCCACCAGGAGGUUCUUUGCAGGAUGUGCAAAUGGAGCUCUACCUGGAGGAACUCGGGGACAGGGUGGAGGAGGCGGACGCGCAAUGCCAUACCGACCCAUUCCUCGACCGUCCCGCCUCCCCGCUGUUCAUCCCCCCAAAGACGGGAGUCAACGCCGUGACACAGAUCUAGACGGUGACCUGUUCGACUUUGACUUGGAGGGGACGCUGAUACUGGAGGUACUGGUGGGGAAGACCCUGGAGCAGGCGUUGCUGCAGGUGAUAGAGGAAAAGGAACUGGCGGCAAUGGGCGCAGCAGAAGGCCUUUCUAGAGCUGUGCAAUGCCAAGCUCGUCGAGAUGCGGAGACUGGAGGACAG